rnacentral:lncRNA from 1 species
AAAAAAAAAGAAUUUUUCAUCUCAUCUCACUGCAUUUAGGGAAAGGGUGACAGAGCAGAGAACAAAAAUAGUCAAAUAUUUGCAUUGUAAAAGUUGAUUCAGACAAGUGUUGAAAUAUUUAGAGAAAAAUAUUUGAUUAUUGGGAGUCAGUUUUCCCUGCUUUGAAGAGUAAAAUGAUUGGGACUUCUAGUUUCUGAUUUCUGGAUGUGACCCUACUAGCUGUAUGACUUGGGCAAAUUAUUUGGGGUGUGCAAUUUACUUUUAUU